rnacentral:rRNA from 1 species
GACGAACCGUGCAAACGUUGUUCGGAAUCACUGGGCUUAAAGGGCGCGUAGGCGGGCAAGCAAGUCGAAGGUGAAAUCCCACGGCUCAACCGUGGAAGUGCCCCCGAUACUGCUUGUCUUGAGGGAGAUAGGGGCGUGCGGAACUUCCGGUGGAGCGGUGAAAUGCGUAGAUAUCGGAAGGAACACCGGUGGCGAAAGUGGCGCGCUGGAUCUCUUCUGACGCUGAGGCGCGAAAGCCAGGGGAGCAAACGGG